GACAGAGGCCGACACCCUCCAAGCAGGCCUUGUUCCCUACAGGCAGCAGCAUCAGCUGGAGCUGGAGACAGCCCACAUGCCUGGGGCUGUGCAGCCAGAGGUGGUGGAGGCAGCGCUGGAGAAGGAGGAGCGGGCGAGGAGACGUGGGCUCGCCUUCUGGAUGAAGUGAGUAUCCCCUCAUUGCCCUGUGCCCAGCCGCCAGCAGCCGGGCUCCCGGCAGUGGGCUGAUGGCCUGGACCCCACUGCAGCCGGCAGGGCUCCCGGGAAGCCCCUUUGGUGCUGUGUGGGGCUCUGCUGCCGUGGGGUCGGGACGCCUCAUUCCCGGCCUGGCCCUCUUUUUGCCCCCAGGACGAUGUGCCUCAUCUUUGUCAGCCUCCAGCUGCUGCUUGUUGCCGUGCUGGGCUGUGCAGUGCUGUACGCCCAGCACUAUGACCAGGAGCUGUUGUAUCGGCUCCUGCUGCGAGUGCUGCCCCAGGCAAUGUACGCUUCCCUGGCGUACUUUGCGAGCAGGAGCCUGCGUGUGGUCUGUGAUGGGCUGCUGCCCAUCUGACCGCCCUGCUCAGUCCCCCCUCCCAGCUCGGGGCUGCCCGGUGGGGCUCGGGGAGAGGGCUCUGUCCCCACGGAAGGGGCCUCUCCUGUGCUCCUGCCCCCAGGGGCGCACAGGCACAGCUGUGGGGCAGUGCCGGCAGGCGGCUGAGUGCCACCACUUUGGACUUACAAAUAAGUUUGUACUGUCGUCGUGAGUCGUCAUCAACUGAACACCACCACCUCCGACGACCCAUCAGACUGAAGAUCUGCACCUGACACCAGGACGUGGCUUCUUGGAUUCUUUGAGUCUUCGUAGCAGCCAUUUCCUACAGCUGGUUACCUCGAAGGCUUAUGAAUUGUAAUUAGCCCAUUAGGCAACGUUACCUCCAAUGGGCUGUUGUCAGUUGUUAAGAACGCUGUCAAUAAAUGGAUGUGUACUAUU